rnacentral:rRNA from 1 species
AAAUGAAUUGACGGGGGCCCGCACAAGCAGUGGAGUAUGUGGUUUAAUUCGAAGAUACGCGAAGAACCUUACCAGGUCUUGACAUCCCGAUGCAAAGCUAAGAGAUUAGCUCCUCUUCGGACAUUGGAGACAGGUGGUGCAUGGUUGUCGUCAGCUCGUGUCGUGAGAUGUUGGGUUAAGUCCCGCAACGAGCGCAACCCUUGUCAUUAGUUGCUACGCAAGAGCACUCUAAUGAGACCGCUACCGACAAGGUGGAGGAAGGUGGGGACGACGUCAAAUCAUCAUGCCCCUUAUGACCUGGGCUACACACGUACUACAAUGGCCGUUAACAACGGGAAGCGAAGCGGUGACGCGGAGCAAACCCCCAAAAACGGUCUCAGUUCGGAUCGCAGGCUGCAACCCGCCUGCGUGAAGUCGGAAUUGCUAGUAAUCGCGGAUCAGCAUGCCGCGGUGAAUACGUUCCCGGGCCUUGUACACACCGCCCGU